UUUUGUAAAAUGUUUAUUUUUUAUUCAUUCUCAGGGAACUUUAGUCAGUGAUGCCUUCAAACAGUCAGAGGAUUGGCACAUAGAACAGCAAAUGUUGGCAGACAAACUGCGUUGCACAGACUGGGAGG